ensembl:lncRNA
AUUGAGAUGGCAAUGGAGAUAGGUGGGGAGAUGGAGUAAGAGAUAGAGGUGGUGAUGGAGGUGGAGAUGGAUGUGGAGAUGGAGUUAGAGAUAGAGAUGGAGAUAGAGGUGGAGAUAGAGGAGGAGAUAGAGGUGGGAAUAGAGGUGGGAAUAGAGGUGGAGAUAGAGGUGGAGAUGGAGAUGAGGGGGAGAUAGAGGUGGGAAUAGAGGUGGAGAUGGAGGUGGAGAUGGAGGUGGAGAUAGAGGUGUGAGAAAGAGUGAACAUCAAAGUGUGAGUGGAUGUAGCCCUGCGAAGCUCAGAGUUUCAGCCCCUGUGACCCCUAAUGAGGGAUAUCAGCUCUCGCCACUGGCCCAUACUAAUGAGCUAAUGAGCGGGGGGUGCCGCACCUCUGGCCGCACCUCUGGCCGCAACUACUCCAUUAAUCAGACUGGAGAAACAGCCAUCAGCAACCUCCCCCAUCUGGUGGUGCUAAUGGAAUGACC